AAAUAUAUAAAAAGAUAAAACAAAAGUGGAAUUCCACUUUUCUCUCUCUCUCUCUCUCACUUACGUGAAUAACAAUUCAAAUCCAUAAAUCCAUAAUAAUAAAAUAAUAAUUUAAGGUUAUAUCUUCCAACGUCGAUAACUUAGGCUCCGCUAAUCCAAAUUAACUUUUUCUCGAGCCUAAAAUGCGUCUUUAAUUACGAUCUAUCCAACAAGCCCAAUAUCCGUAUACUUAUUAUCGUCCCGUCAAAAUCUACAUUUUAAGCCCAAUAAAAUUAAAAUUUACCUUAUAUAUACAUUAGUCCCUAAACUUUCAAAACAUUAAAAUAUAGCAUAAAAAAAUUAAAUUAUAUUCUAUGAAAUUUUGGGACAUU
rnacentral:lncRNA from 1 species